GACGCUGGCGGUAGGCUUAACACAUGCAAGUCGUGCGAGAAAGUAUCUUCGGAUAUGAGUAGAGCGGCGGACGGGUGAGUAACGCGUAGGAAUCUACCUAGUAGAAGGGGAUAGCCCGGGGAAACUCGGAUUAAUACCGUAUACCUCCUUCGGGAGAAAGAAGGCCUCUCUUUGAAGCUUUCGCUACUAGAUGAGCCUGCGUAAGAUUAGCUUGUUGGUGAGGUAAAGGCUCACCAAGGCAACGAUCUUUAGCGGGUCUGAGAGGACGAUCCGCCACAUUGGGACUGAGACACGGCCCAGACUCCUACGGGAGGCAGCAGUGGGGAAUAUUGGACAAUGGGCGCAAGCCUGAUCCAGCCAUACCGCGUGUGUGAAGAAGGCCCUAGGGUUGUAAAGCACUUUAAGUUGGGAAGAAAAGUUAUUGGUUAAUACUCAAUAACCGUGACAUUACCUUCAGAAUAAGGACCGGCUAAUUCCGUGCCAGCAGCCGCGGUAAUACGGAAGGUCCAAGCGUUAAUCGGAAUUACUGGGCGUAAAGCGCGCGUAGGUGGUUUAUUAAGUUGGAUGUGAAAUCCCCGGGCUCAACCUGGGAACUGCAUCCAAAACUGAUUCACUAGAGUACGAUAGAGGGAGGUAGAAUUCACAGUGUAGCGGUGGAAUGCGUAGAUAUUGUGAAGAAUACCAAUGGCGAAGGCAGCCUCCUGGAUCUGUACUGACACUAAGGUGCGAAAGCGUGGGUAGCGAACAGGAUUAGAUACCCUGGUAGUCCACGCCGUAAACGAUGUCAACUAGCUGUUGGGAAACAAUGUUUCUCAGUGGCGCAGCUAACGUAGUAAGUUGACCGCCUGGGGAGUACGGCCGCAA
rnacentral:rRNA from 1 species